CCAAAGGCUCUUUUAAGAGCCACCCAUGUUCUCGUCAAAAGAGUC
rfam:Danio rerio chromosome 25 genomic contig CTG2378, GRCz11 reference primary assembly.